GCCAAACGCCCAAUUCCAAACCCUAUAUUCUACCUCCCCUUCGACCCCGCUGUCUCCCACUCUUGCAGACAAAGGUUUGACGUUUUUUUUACAACUUACUAUGUGACUUUUUAUGUGGAAUGCUUUAGCCAGGAUGAACGAGUUAUCACCAUUCCGAGUUGAAGCAAGUAGAUUUUGGUGGAAAUUUGAAAAUGACUGUUGGAAAAUUAUUUUUAGGUUACAAUCAAAGAUUGUAGGGUUUUGGCCAGAUUGGAAGAAUUGAUAAGGUUUGAGAUUGAAUAAAUUAUUUAAUUGAAUCUACCAUAAAAUUAGGGCAAAAAAGUAAUAGCAUUUAGCAGAUGUUGGAGAAGAAAACAAAAUCAUUGGUUUCAAAUGGCUUGGAAAU
rnacentral:lncRNA from 1 species